rnacentral:rRNA from 1 species
AGUGAACGUUGGCGGCGUGGAUUAGGCAUGCAAGUCGAGCGAGAACCGUAGCAAUACGGGGACAGCGGCGAAAGGGACAGUAAUGUGUAGGUACCUACCCCCGGGUUCGGGAUAGCUGCGGGAAACUGCAGGUAAUACCGAAUAAUGUCUCCGGACCAAAGGUGUGAUUCCACCUGGGGAGGGGCCUGCAUCCUAUUAGCUUGUUGGUGGGGUAGCGGCCUACCAAGGCGACGAUGGGUAGCGGGUGUGAGAGCAUGACCCGCGUCAUUGGGACUGAGACACUGCCCAGACACCUACGGGUGGCUGCAGUCGAGAAUCUUCGGCAAUGGGCGAAAGCCUGACCGAGCGACGCCGCGUGCGGGAUGAAGGCCUUCGGGUUGUAAACCGCUGUCGUAGAGGAGGAAAUGCAAGGGGGUUCUCCCCUUUGCUUGACCUAUUCUAGGAGGAAGUACGGGCUAAGUUCGUGCCAGCCGCCGCUGUAA